rfam:Capsella rubella cultivar Monte Gargano unplaced genomic scaffold scaffold_8, whole genome shotgun sequence.
UGGAGAAUAUGAUGAAAGUUGUCGAUUCAUGUGUGAUGAUUCUUAAAGAUUCAAUUGAUCGAUAAAAUCUUCAAUUUCGCUACGUUCUUUCUGAUUCUUCA